GGGUCGAUAUCUCUGUAUUUGGUGGUUUAUUUGAUUAGUGGAUUACGGACGGCUCUAAUUACCCUUUGAUCG
ensembl:ncRNA F56E3.18 ncRNA